rnacentral:lncRNA from 1 species
GGAGGUAGUAUUUAUUUUAUUAUGACUUGAUUUUACUAAAUGUUCUUUAAGCCUGACUUAAAUAUUUUUAUAUCUACACAAAUUUUUUUAUUAAAAUUAAUAGUCAAAUGUUUGUUAAAAACUCAACGGCGCCAUAUACCCAAAAGAACAGUAUAUGUUUAACCGUCCCUUUGACUUCUAUGUUCAACAUGUUCCGUCACAUAUUCAUACUUGAGUUCUUUUGGCCAUUGUAUUUACAGUCUUAGCACGUUUUUAGGCACUCAAAUCGUGGACGGGCUCGUAGCUUUCUUUUUGGCUAUGUUUUGUGGGGACACCCAAUUUAGGCCUGGUGCCCCAAAUAUCCACUCGUGAUCGUCUAGGAUUUCGAUCACGCACAGAUUGAUAUACAAAACAGCUUUCAAUUAAUUAUACAAAUUUGUUUAUACAACCUAAUUAUACAAUUGUUAAAGGUUGAAGAGAUCCACACUAAUACAUCCUUACUUGAAAAUACAAGGAAAAUCCAAACUCCUAAACUACUAAACUACAACUAAUGAACUCCACAAGCAAAAGCUAGACUAUCCUAGAAAAACUUGUUGUUGCUGUAGACCUCGCUAUCUUCUGGUCUUCUUAUUAGCACAAUUCUCUAUAUGUUAAAUUAUGCAAGAGUGGGUACUUAUGUACUCAGCAAGACAUAUUAUAAAUAAUUAAAGGUGAAGAGAUAUGAAUAAAUGAAACAAUGAGUAAAUAAAGGAGUAAUAAAAUCAUAUAUCAUUCUUAUCCUCAAAAUUUAUUUUUUAAAACUACUUAUACUUCAGGAGUAGGAAUCACCCUUAUGACAUAUCUCCUUAAUCGGGAGCAUGGUGUAUUCGAAUACGGUACGACUAUGUAGUGUUUGCCUAGCUUUACCCACACGAUGAGAACAAUUUGCAAAGGCUGUAAACACCAUAGCCGUUCGAGAGUCCCACUUACUACUAGUUACUGCACAGUGGGGUCUUGGUUCAUCAUAGUGGUUGAACUCUUGCCAGGCCUAGGCAAGGUUACUAUAUCGUCACACUUUCAUGAAGCCCACUGUUGUGAAUCAUGCCGCCCAAACACCUUACGCAUGAUUCACCCCAAAAAACUGCUCCUAAUGAGCUACCCAACAGUCUUUCAUAUAGUGGGACAAUACUAGGCUAAGUCCAAUUACUUGGUCGUGUGGAUGGGCGCAAACUAUGUCAUUUCCCAUGGUAUAAGGGGGUAAUUAUAAUCCAGUUAAACCACCAAAAAUUAUGUCAACAUCCAAAACUUCCAUACCAACAAACUUCAUCAUAAAUUCCAACAUUCACAACUUUCAACAAUCACAACCUCAACUCAAAUGCCCAUUUUAACCAGAUUCCUAAGUUUGUAAAGAUAUUUGAAUAAUAAACCACAUAAAAUGAUAACCAUGUAUCUUUCUAUAACCUCAUGUAAUAAUGCUUGAAGGCAUUUAACAUCUACCGAUGAGAUGCUAAAUGAGUAAUAUAUCAUGCAUAAAAUUAAACUGAAGAUUAUAUUGAGUUUUCUAUAUGAUCAAAAUUUUAGUUAUGUCUUGCCUCACGCCUCGAGAUUCUUGUGGUUUUAGCGUAGCCAUCUGGGUCCACAUAAGCUCCUUGGAUGUCGAUAGAAUUUGCUGUACGGUCGAACGUACUAAUACAAAAAGAUAGCAAAUAAACCCUAUAAAAAAAUGCUACAAAGAAAUGAUAAACCAAGGAAUAAAUAAAAUUGGAGCAAAGCGAGGGAAAAAGGAAUGGUUCAAAAUAGAUUUAAAUUUGGAAAACAAAAGAGAGGUUUUGGUUUCUAAAGGUUGGGAAUUAAAUAAAAUCGAAGAAAGGAUAAUUUGGAUAGGUGGGGUUUAUUUGGUGGAUUUGGUUUCUAGUCGGUGCUAUAGUUGGGCAGCACGACGGCUAGAAAUUUGGGUUUGGUUAGCCGAUGCUGAGGUUGGGUAGCAUAACGCCUUAAAUGGCUUGUCUAGUCGAUGCUACAGUCAAGCAGCACAACGACUAGUGAGUUAGGAGAUUUGUGUGGAGCGGAACAGUGUUACUCUAUAGUCGUGAGUGACAAUAGAGCGGCUAGGAUUGCACAUAGCCCAAGGACUUAGUGUGCAGCGUGUUAUGGAGGUCGAGAGAGUAGUAAGGCUCCGACCGCUAUAUGCGUUGAGGCGUGGGGUGCAAAGACAAACACUUCAACCUUGGGAUUAGGUUAUGCCGGGUUUUACGACCAACGGUUUGAUGUAGGAGUUUGAGACCACGCGAACGUCUCCACAGAAGGCGUAAAGUGUCCACAGUAGCUGUUUAGUGGCAAUGAGAUAGUAUAGGAAUGGUUUAGAAAUAAAAAGGGUAUUUAAAUAAAUCAAAGGAAUUUGAAUUCAAAAAGGGGUUUCAAAUAGAUUAAAGAAAUAAAAUUUAAAAUGGUAUUUUAAAAUAAAGAAAUGGGGUUUUAAAGAAAUUAAAGGAUAAUUUAAUUUUAAAAAGGUUUUUAAAUAAAACAAGAAAUUUAAAAUUAAAGGGAUAUAAAGUAUAUCAAAUAAAUUUAAAAUAAUUUUUAAAGGUUAAUUAAAAUAAUUUAAAAUCAGAAAGUAAAUAAAUAAAUAAGGAAAAGCUAUUUAAAUAAAGAAAUUUAAAUAAAAUUUUAAAAAUAGGAAAUUUAGUAUCAAAAUAAAGGGUUUGAAACUAGAUGAACUUAGGUCAAAAAAAUUCUGGAAUUGGAUCAACGGUUGGAGAGAUAUGGAUGUCUAAAGUUUGGAAUUUGAAAUAAAUCAAAUAAAGAAAAGGAUUACUAUUUAGAAGUGGGGCCCACUCGUCAUAGCCUUCUUUUAUCUCUUCUUCUUCCUUGAGCCACAGAGAAAGAGGGGGGAGGCAGAGAAGGGGCGGUGCGCACGGUCCGGUGGCUCGGCGCUUCCGGCGGCGGCUGGGGACGGCGCAUGGGCUAGGACAACGGCCGACGGUGGAGGAGCGAAGGGAACACGACAGCCGGCGGUGGUGGAUUUGAGGAAGAGAGAGAGAGAGAGAGAGAGAGAGAGAGAGAGAGAGAAUUUGAGUUUUGGAUGGGGAAAAUGGGAGGGGUUCGCCGGUUUAUAUGGGAGGCAAAGGCGGUGGAGGGAGAGUUGGUCGACGACGGCACGGCGGCGUCAGCUCGGAAUAGUGAUGUGACGGCACCGAGUGUCAGCUUUCGAUUGGCUGUCGAUGACGGGUUGGUGGUUGGCGGCGGCUAGUGGCGACACGCAACCGAGGGGAAUGGCUCGGCGUCGGGCGGCAGUGGCAAAAACAACGGCGAUGGCGGCUUAGCAGCGGUGGUGGCGGAGUAGCGGCGGCGGCCGCGGAUUGGCGAUAGCGGCGGCAACCUAGGGGGUGCCGGGGGCCCCUGGUAUGCGGUGGUGGCAGAACGGUGCCGGCGUGGCAAUAGCGGAUGGCGGGGACGGUGCGAC